GGGUUCACCUCCCACCUGGACAAUCAAACGGGUGCGUGGGCUUUUAAGCGGCCAACACACGUACUUAGAGAAAUAGUGGAGAUUUACCCACGAGUUUGAUCGAUCUUCUUUAUCACUGAUUUCUCUCGUGGCAAUGACAGUCGAUCAAAACUAUGGACAAACAGCCAAUACAUCUCGACCGUGUAUGGUCCAUAUUAAGCAUUUCAUACGAUCAGUAUCGUACGAAGCUGUGGAGCAUUUAUUGUAAAUGAUAGCCACUGCAAACAGAGCAGGCUGUACAAUUCUUUUUUACCAUUUUGCAACGAGAAGAUGAUAGAAAAUAAACGGUUUAACAUUCCAGAGCCGUGUCCCGGAGCAAAACAAAAAGUUUGUCAUCUUCGAUUGUUCAUAACCUCAAUUUCUACUAUCGAUAGAUCGAAGCGACAAUUUACCAUCGGAACAUUCGAGCUCGAGAUUAACGAGUAUUCACGUGUCACUCUAGAUAGCGCCACGCUGGUCGCACCUCUCGCGUGCCUCGAAUCGCAUCCCACCACUUCCAUAGUUGGUGAUCUUCGUAGCAUAAUGCCUGUGCGGCGUGUGCGCGGUUCGGCGAUAGAACAGCAGGGCCAUAGCAAAAGUGUUAGUACGCGUAUUAUCGUAGCAGAACGGUGGCGAUGACUCUCUCAUCGCCGAUGGUUUUACUUUUCGGCAUAGAAGCACGAUCCACACUAGACGCUGUCUAGCCGCGACGUUGGUCAUGGAUUACGAAAUCGUUUCGAAAGGAUUUUAACUGAUUUUAAAGAUAACCCAGGGCGCCUUAGGGAUUUUCGGUGUGAAUGGAAAGGUCUGCGCGCGCGUUUUCGUGUCUAUAAUUAGGUAGUCUGAUUUUAGCGGACCAUCUUGUAUAUAUUUAUUUCAUGUACAAAAUACUUUUGAUUUUUCGUUGCAAAACACGAUGUACUAUAAAGUGUUAGUACAAGUUACUAAAAAUGAAUUACGAAAAUAAUUGAAAAAGGAAACAGGAAAAUGAAAGUUAGUAAUAUAAUUCAACAAUAAAUAAAUUACUUUUUGUGAAAAUGUUCAUGCAAUAAUGUAUAAAGAAGAAAUUAUAUAAUCUUGUUAUGUAACUGUAUUGUAUUAUAAGAAAAGAAAAAUAAGAUUGCAUUUCCUUUUGGGGGCAAUAUUUAAUUCCGUGAAACGUGUAGUUUAAUGGAAAUAGUAAUGUGCAUCCAUAUGGCGAUAGCGUGCAAGAUUACCGUGUUUUACAUGUUCUACUUUCUAAAUGCGUUUGUUUUCUACAAAAAAAGCCAUCUAGAAUCUGUUUGAAACAUUCAAUCGAGUAUAAUACAGAAUUCUACGUAUUAAUUAGAAUUUAUCGUGUCUAUGGGAGUAAGACGAUUCGUAAUUUAAUUAAAGGCGAACUAAUUGUUAUUUAAUAAGCAUGCAUAAACGUGCUGAUACAUGUUUUAUUGAUUCACUCUCUCGGGAAAUCAGCUAAUAUCGUAGUUAUUACACUAUUAAUAGGAUAGAUAAGAUUGUGUUAUGAAAUUAGUGAGAUAAAACUCAAUAGUACGAUUAUUAGUAUUUUGCAUACUCGAGAGGAUAUUAUAGACAAGGAUUUGGAAAAAAUCGAUUUUCUUUUUAAGAUUUUUAAAACGUGUCGUUGGAAGAUUUCUUUUAAGUUCAUGCUACGUAAAUUGGAAAUGGCAACAAUGAUAUUUUUAAAACUAGAAAUAGAAAGUUGAAAGUACCACUAUAUGGUGGAGACAUUACGAAAUAGAAGUAAUGCUCUUUUCACAAUCGCUUAAUAUCCAUGCUGGUUUUUAUUUAUUAACAACGAUACAUAGUUUCAAAUCGACAUCUAAAGUAGUUUUCAUUUUACAAAAUCCCCAAUAUGCCCUAGUUUUUCCACAGUAAGGUUAGAAUGUUCUCUUGACUUUUCAAAUUAAAAAUUUCAACCAACGAUUCAACGUUGCAAGCUGUUUGUAUGCGUUCGCGAUAAAAUGAACAAAGGUCCCUUAAAAACAAUCGACUUCGUUCGGGAGUUUGUUUGGCAGAGUGGAAAACUGGAGCAGGCCGGCGGCUGUGAAAAUUCAGAAGUGGGAGGGAAACAAGAAAAAUACAUAAAAGCACAAAGGGGUGAAUGACAAACGGAAGAUGAUUCGUGUCGUCGAAAAUAAGCGUGUCAGGGGCGAGGAUGCAUAGGUGGGGAAGUGAGAAAGUUCACUACGUGGGGUUCCGUGAACCCGCGUGUAAAUAUGGGUUCGUAUCGGCCGGCAGUGACAGCCGAAAGUGGAGGUCCUUUAGGAAGUCAUGGGGAAUCUCGUCCACAAGGUAAUUUCGCGUUAGACCACUUUGAAUUAAAGCCGGGAUUAUUCAAAUUUACGGAACAUUAUUCAAUAUCUCUGAGAAUUAAUAUAAACCACG